UACGAAGGGGGCUAGCGUUGCUCGGAAUCACUGGGCGUAAAGGGUGCGUAGGCGGGUCUUUAAGUCAGGGGUGAAAUCCUGGAGCUCAACUCCAGAACUGCCUUUGAUACUGAGGAUCUUGGGUACGGGAGAGGUGAGUGGAACUGCGAGUGUAGAGGUGAAAUUCGUAGAUAUUCGCAAGAACACCAGUGGCGAAGGCGGCUCACUGGCCCGUAACUGACGCUGAGGCACGAAAGCGUGGGGAGCAAACAGG
rnacentral:rRNA from 1 species